UCUGAAGACAAACAAACACAGGUCAACGAGUCUGAGGAGACAUGGUCACCGAAAGCCGCCAGGACUCACAGGACGUUUGGCAAUCCUGCCACUAGUUCAUCUCAGCAGACAGUGGAUUUCCCCGUCCUCUGCAGCGUCACAUGAUCUGGGCUCAGGUUGAUGUCGGUGUUUUGGACCUGAAAGGUUGGGACUGGAUGAGUUGAUGCAGACAGACACCGCAGGCUUCACUUUCAUAUCAGCUGAUCCUGGAUCACUUUCAUACAGUGAUCCUGUCUGGUAUGUCUGUAAUUCAUCCUGCUGAUGGAGAGAUGACAGAUGAGACUUAUUGCUGUGCUGGCAGACGCUGCAGCUCGCCACCGUCGCCACCGUCUCCUCACGCUCUCAACCUAACUUCAUCUCACCUCACAGGGAUCCAGAAAACUAAUAACCGUCUGAGUUCUUCCCUGUAAUGAAGAGAAAACACCUCGCGUUCCCUAAAUUUUCAGUGAAACGUGGUGUGAUGGACGGGUGACCUGUCCACACUCUGUCAGCUGGGAUUGGCACCAGCGACCUCUGUGACCCUUAUGUGGAG